rnacentral:rRNA from 1 species
AGUGAACGCUGGCGGUAGGCCUAACACAUGCAAGUCGAACGGCAGCACAGUAAGAGCUUGCUCUUACGGGUGGCGAGUGGCGGACGGGUGAGGAAUACAUCGGAAUCUACUUUUUCGUGGGGGAUAACGUAGGGAAACUUACGCUAAUACCGCAUACGACCUACGGGUGAAAGCAGGGGAUCUUCGGACCUUGCGCGAUUGAAUGAGCCGAUGUCGGAUUAGCUAGUUGGCGGGGUAAAGGCCCACCAAGGCGACGAUCCGUAGCUGGUCUGAGAGGAUGAUCAGCCACACUGGAACUAAGACACGGUCCAGACUCCUACGGGAGGCAGCAGUGGGGAAUAUUGGACAAUGGGCGCAAGCCUGGUCCAGCCAUACCGCGUGGGUGAAGAAGGCCUUCGGGUUGUAAAGCCCUUUUGUUGGGAAAGAAAAGCAGCAGGUUAAUACCCCGCUGUUCUGACGGUACCCAAAGAAUAAGCACCGGCUAACUUCGUG